GACGAACGCUGGCGGCGUGCUUAACACAUGCAAGUCGAACGAAGUGGCGAACGGGUGAGUAACGCGUAAUCAACCUGCCCUUCAGAGGGGGACAACAGUUGGAAACGACUGCUAAUACCGCAUACUGAAGGAGGGGAUUGCGUCUGAUUAGCUAGUUGGUGGGGUAACGGCCCACCAAGGCGAUGAUCAGUAGGCGGUCUGGGAAGAUGAACGGCCACAUUGGGACGGGAGCACGGCCCAGACUCCUACGGGAGGGAGCAAGGGGGGAACUUUCGCAAUGGACCAAAGUCUGGCGGAGCAAAGCCGCGUGGGUGAUGACGGCCUUCGGGUUGUAAAGCUCUGCUAAUCGGGACGCGGUACCGGAAUAGAAAGCCACGGCUAACUACGUGCCAGCAGCCGCGGUAAUAC
rnacentral:rRNA from 1 species